UGUAAACUGGGGGACUUGAGUGCAGAAGAAGAAGAGUGGAAAUUCCCACGGGUAGCGGUGCAAAUUGCGUUAGAGAUGUGGAGGAACACCCAGUGGGGGAAGGGGACUCUUUGGUUCUGUAUCUGACGCUGAGUCGCGAAAGCGUGGGGAGCAAACAGAAUUAGAUACCCUGGUAGUCCACGCCGUAAACGAUGAGUGUUAAGUGUUAGAGGGUUUCCGCCCUUUAGUGCUGCAGCAAACCCAUUAAGCACUCCCCCUGGGGAGUCCGGCCCCAAGGCUGAAACUCAAAGGAAUUGACGGGGGCCCGCCCAAGCGGUGGAGCAUGUGGUUUAAUUGGAAGCAACGCGAAGAACCUUACCAGUUCUUGCCAUCUUCUGCCAUUCCUAGAGAUAGGACGUUCCCCUUCGGGGGCCAGAGUGCCAGGUGGUCCAUGGUGGUGUUCAGCUCGUUUCGUGAAAUGUUGGGUUAAGUCCCCCACCGACCCCAACCCUUGUUUUUAG
rnacentral:rRNA from 1 species